rnacentral:misc_RNA from 1 species
AAGUCGUAACAAGGUUUCCGUAGGUGAACCUGCGGAAGGAUCAUUAUCACGUAUCCACGUAUAAACCAUUGCGAACUGUUUUUUUAACCUUUGUUGGUGGAUGAGGAGAGAGAGAAAAAUUUGUUGAAAAACAUAUUUUUUUUUCUUCUCUUUGUUACAGCUAACAAAGUGUAAUUAAUUACUAUUAACCAUUAUAACCCAAACUUUAUAACUUUUUUGAACUAAUUUUUAUUUUAUACUCUUCGGAGAUAAAAUUCAUUACGAAACAAAGAACAACUCUUAGCAACGGAUAUCUUGGUUCUC